UACAGAGGGUGCAAGCGUUAUUCGGAAUUACUGGGCGUAAAGCGCAUGUAGGUGGUUUGAUAAGUCUGGUGUGAAAGCCCCCGACUCAAUCGGGGAAGUGCAUUGGAUACUGUCAGACUGGAGUAUGGGAGAGGAGAGUGGAAUUCCAGGUGUAGAGGUGAAAUUCGUAGAUAUCUGGAGGAACAACAGAGGCGAAGGCGGCUCUCUGGACCAUAACUGACACUGAAAUGCGAAAGCGUGGGGAGCAAACAGG
rnacentral:rRNA from 1 species